UACGGAGGGGUGCAAGCGUUAAUCGGAAUUACUGGGCGUAAAGCGCACGUAGGUGGUUUGCUAAGUCAGCUGUGAAAUCCCCGGGCUCAACCUGGGCACUGCAGUUGAAACUGGCAAGCUAGAGUAGGGUAGAGGGGUGUGGAAUUCCAGGUGUAGCGGUGAAAUGCGUAGAUAUCUGGAGGAACAUCAGUGGCGAAGGCGACACCCUGGACUCAUACUGACACUGAGGUGCGAAAGCGUGGGGAGCAAACAGG
rnacentral:rRNA from 1 species